GGAUAAGAGAUUUAAUUACUGUUAUUUUACCUAUCAUUGUAAGAUUUCUUCUGUUCCAGCUAUUGAUUGCAUCUUGAGACUUUCUUAAAAUUCUUUCUGUAUUUAAUCUGUCGCAUUCAUCUUUGUUAAGUCCAAAAUAUACCCCUAGACUUUUAAUAGGUUCUUUAUUCCAGUUUAUAUUUUCAUAUUUAUCUUUGCAGCUUUUCAAUUGGCCUAACCAUAUGCCCUCUGUUUUAGAUCGGUUAAGUUUAAGACCUGAGAGUGUUCCAAAUAUUUCAAUCAAGUUUAAAGCAUAGCUUAUUUCCUGCUUACAUUUUAAAAAAGGAGUAGUAUCAUCUGCUAGUUGUGAAAUUUUCAGACUAUGUGUUUUAGAGUCUAAUUUAAUUUGAAAUCCCUUAAUACCAGUAUCUUGUCUUAUUCUACAUGCGAGAAUUUCUACUGCUAUUGUGAAAAUUAGAGAACUGCAUGGACACCCUUGUCGUAUCCCACGAGUUACAUUGUAGGUUUCUGAAAUCCAACCAUUAUUUAGCAUACAGCCUUUAAUAUUUUUAUAUAAUGUUUUAACCCAUUUAAUGAAUGAGUUUGGGAGAC
rnacentral:lncRNA from 1 species